AGUGAACGCUGGCGGUAGGCCUAACACAUGCAAGUCGAACGGCAGCACAGUAAGAGCUUGCUCUUACGGGUGGCGAGUGGCGGACGGGUGCUGAAUACAUCGGAAUCUACUUUUUCGUGGGGGAGAACGUAGGGAAACUUACGCUAAUACCGCAUACGACCUACGGGUGAAAGCAGGGGAUCUUCGGACCUUGCGCGAUUGAAUGAGCCGAUGUCGGAUUAGCUAGUUGGCGGGGUAAAGGCCCACCAAGGCGACGAUCCGUAGCUGGUCUGAGAGGAUGAUCAGCCACACUGGAACUGAGACACGGUCCAGACUCCUACGGGAGGCAGCAGUGGGGAAUAUUGGACAAUGGGCGCAAGCCUGAUCCAGCCAUACCGCGUGGGUGAAGAAGGCCUUCGGGUUGUAAAGCCCUUUUGUUGGGAAAGAAAAGCAGCAGGUUAAUACCCCGCUGUUCUGACGGUACCCAAAGAAUAAGCACCGGCUAACUUCGUG
rnacentral:rRNA from 1 species